rnacentral:rRNA from 1 species
AUUUUGGGCAAUGGGCGAAAGCCUGACCCAGCAACGCCGCGUGAGGGAUGAAGUAUUUCGGUAUGUAAACCUCGAAAGAAUGGGAAGAAUAAAUGACGGUACCAUUUAUAAGCUCCGGCUAACUACGUGCCAGCAGCCGCGGUAAUACGUAGGGAGCAAGCGUUGCUCGGAUUUACUGGGCGUAAAGGGCGCGUAGGCGGCGCGGUAAGUCACUUGUGAAAUCUCUGAGCUUAACUCAGAACGGCCAAGUGAUACUGCUGGGCUAGAGGGCGGAAGAGGCAACCGGAAUUCUUGGUGUAGCGGUGAAAUGCGUAGAUAUCAAGAGGAACACCUGAGGCGAAGGCGGGUUGCUGGGCCGACACUGACGCUGAUGCGCGAAAGCCAGGGGAGCAAACG